CGCCGCGUGCGCCUGCAGCUCGCCACGCUCGAGGCCGGGCCUGGGGCGGCGGGCGCCGGCUGCGAAUGAGCCCCAGAUGACCCCAUGGCUUCACCUAUCAGGACCAGACUGAGAUGUACAGCUGCUCCAUACCUCAUCCAACUGCCAGGACGCCUACCUGUCCUCCCUCUGUCCUCACUUGGAUAAACAGCUCUGCCUCACA